GACGAACGCUGGCGGCGUGCUUAACACAUGCAAGUCGAACGGAAAGGCCCUUCGGGGUACUCGAGUGGCGAACGGGUGAGUAACACGUGGGUGAUCUGCCCUGCACUUUGGGAUAAGCCUGGGAAACUGGGUCUAAUACCGGAUAGGACCACGCGCUUCAUGGUGUGUGGUGGAAAGCUUUUGCGGUGUGGGAUGGGCCCGCGGCCUACCAGCUUGUUGGUGGGGUAAUGGCCUACCAAGGCGACGACGGGUAGCCGGCCUGAGAGGGUGACCGGCCACACUGGGACUGAGAUACGGCCCAGACUCCUACGGGAGGCAGCAGUGGGGAAUAUUGCACAAUGGGCGCAAGCCUGAUGCAGCGACGCCGCGUGAGGGAUGACGGCCUUCGGGUUGUAAACCUCUUUCUCCCCGGACGAAGCGCAAGUGACGGUACCUGGAGAAGAAGGACCGGCCAACUACGUGCCAGCCGCCGCAGUAACAC
rnacentral:rRNA from 1 species